AGUGAACGCUGGCGGCAUGCCUAACACAUGCAAGUCGAGCGUCCGCUCGGGGGCCUCCCUUCCCUCGUGCUUCCGACGGUUGAGUAAUUCAUCCGUAUCUGCCUUUUUUUUUUGGCUAACGUAGUUUCACUUACCCUAAUACCUCAUACGUCCUUCUUUUGAACCUCGUGGUCCUCAAGUCCUCACGCAUAUUGAUUACCCGACGACCUAUUAGCUAGUUGGUUUGGUAAAGGCCCACCAAGGCGACGAUCGCUAGCUGACCUGAGAGGAUGAUCUGCCACACUGGGACUGAGACACGGUCCAGACUCCUACGGGAGGCAGCAGUGGGGAAUAUUGGACAAUGGGCGAAAGACUGAUGGAGCAAUGCCGCGUGAGUGAAGAAGGACUUCGGGUUGUAAAGCACUGUUGUAAGGAAAGAAAAAAAGGGAAAUAAAACGUGCGGGGGAUGACGGUACCGGAAGAAAAAGCAACGGCUAACUACGUG
rnacentral:rRNA from 1 species